AUGCCAAACAAAAAAACAAACUGCCCGAUUUGCCAUGGCCUGUACUGGAAUGUUCACCAGCAUCUAAUUCAGGUCCACAACCUGUCCAUCGCAGUUGAGAGGAAACUUCUUCUGGCAUCAAAGUCGGGCAGGUUUUCGGGCAAAAUUGACUGCCCCGUGCAGAACUGCACGGCACGUGGCCUUUUGCGCCUGGACUCCCACAUCAGAACCCAGCAUGACCUGACGUCCGACGAGUCUUCUCACCUCAUAGCGAAGGCCAAGAGGAAAGCCGCCAGGCAUGCCUUAAAAAAAUUCCAGCGCGAACCAAAGCCGGACACUGACAUGGGAGUCAGAGUCCAAAUGCUGCAGGAGCAGGUCAGACGACUGGAGGACAAUAAGGGUGAGAAGAAGGAAGUGCAGCCAGCGCCCUGCUCAUCGACCUUGGAUACACUUCUGGAGCAAUACCGGACCCACGUUCUCGGUAUGCGUACGUCAGCCAAAUCCGAAUCGAACGCAGGCCAGCAGGUGCGCCAUGUCCAAAAUUUUCUUCAACACAUGUGGGGAAAGAUGUCUCCUCCAACUCUGAACCUGAGCUUUCUAACGAACCACACAAAGAUUUAUAGGUCCAUUUUAAUUACAUAUGUGUGUGUGUGUGUGUGUGUGUGUGUGUGUGUGUGUGUGUGUGUGUGUGUGUAUUUAUGCUAUUAUCACUCACAUCAUUAAGCAAUACUUAUUGAAAUUCAUUUCUCUUUCUUACCAGCUGGGUCUCAAACCUUUCGAGCCGAUUUAGGGCCACCACUGUGAAGGUUUACCUGGGCAACGUGUCAAAAUUCAUCAGUUAUUUGACCCUUGACCGGCCGCGUGGUACAAAAAUUGGAAACAACAGUUUGCGGGCCCUUUCUGUUGCAUUGAGGCGGUUGAAUGACACAAUACUCACUGAGGUGAAGCAUCGAAGGCUGGAGGUGCGUCAUGAAAAGUCCAAAAAUAUGUUAAAAAUGACCACAUUAGAACAACUCGUCCGGAAGACAUCAGAGCGAAUUCCCAAGGCUUUGGGUACGUUUUUGCUACUAAUUCGUUUUUUUUUAUUUUUUUUUUUAUUAUAAUAGUUACAAUAUUAACAUUUUUUUUCGUGCUUUGCAGAUUACCUGGCGCACAACAGCAAUUCGGAUUCGCUGAGGUCAUGUCUUGGGUACAUAGCCACGUAUUUAUACGCCACUACUGGUCAUCGGAGUGCUGUGGUUUCGAACAUGACCGUUCGCGAGUUCCAGGAUGCUGACGAGCACGACGGGAGAUACGUCAUAAACGUGUGCGUGUGUGUUAUUCAUUUUGGGACUAGGAAUGCAAAACAAGCUCUUUAAUUAUUUACCAACAUGCAACAAUGAAUCGAUUGCCUUUCCACAUUUAGGUGAAGGAUCACAAGACUGCAGCAUCCUUUGGGAUGGCAAAAAUCCCAUUGUCUUCAUCAGAGAUGGCCUGGCUGAAAAAGUUCUUUGAUCUGAGACCCACGCUGCCAGGCUACACGGAAGAGGUGCCGACUUUUUUCUUCACCUCGAAGGGUCAGGUCUUCUCCAAGAUUAGCCAGGUGGUCGCCGAGACGUGUCAGAAGCUUGGCUUCAGCCCAAACAUUUCGGUGACCUCCAUCAGAAGCGCUGUUGCGACCUGUGUGAGCUGAUGGCAUUGUCACGCUAAGGAUCCUUAGGAAUGACAAAUGUGCUAACGUUUA
ensembl:lncRNA